GCUCAACCGGGGAGGGUCAUUGGAAACUGGGGAACUUGAGUGCAGAAGAGGAGAGUGGAAUUCCACGUGUAGCGGUGAAAUGCGUAGAGAUGUGGAGGAACACCAGUGGCGAAGGCGACUCUCUGGUCUGUAACUGACGCUGAGGCGCGAAAGCGUGGGGAGCGAACAGGAUUAGAUACCCUGGUAGUCCACGCCGUAAACGAUGAGUGCUAAGUGUUAGAGGGUUUCCGCCCUUUAGUGCUGCAGCAAACGCAUUAAGCACUCCGCCUGGGGAGUACGGUCGCAAGACUGAAACUCAAAGGAAUUGACGGGGGCCCGCACAAGCGGUGGAGCAUGUGGUUUAAUUCGAAGCAACGCGAAGAACCUUACCAGGUCUUGACAUCCUCUGACAACCCUAGAGAUAGGGCUUCCCCUUCGGGGGCAGAGUGACAGGUGGUGCAUGGUUGUCGUCAGCUCGUGUCGUGAGAUGUUGGGUUAAGUCCCGCAACGAGCGCAACCCUUGAUCUUAGUUGCCAGCAUUCAGUUGGGCACUCUAAGGUGACUGCCGGUGACAAACCGGAGGAAGGUGGGGAUGACGUCAAAUCAUCAUGUCCCUUAUGACCUGGGCUACACACGUGCUACAAUGGGCAGAACAAAG
rnacentral:rRNA from 1 species